AAAGAACUGCAGGGCAUUCUUCAAGCAAUCACUAUGUCAACUGAUACAGAUGUUUCCCUUUCUUCUUAUGAUGAAGAUCAGGGAUGCAAACUUAUUCGAAAAGCUAAAGAGGCACCAUUUGUCCCCACUGGAAUGGCAGGUUUUGCAGCAAUUGUUGCAUAUGGAUUAUACAAAUUGAAGAACAGGGGAAAUACCAAACUGUCUCUUCACCUGAUCCACAUGCAAGUGACAGCCCAAGGCUUUAUUGUAGGAGCAAUGACUGUUGGUAUGGGCUAUUCCAUGUAUCGAGAAUUCUGGGCAACACCUAAACCUUAGAAGAAGAGAUGCUAUUUUGGUCUUGUUGAAGGAGCUCGCUGUAAUUAGACAUAUCAUUAUUGGGGUUACAUGUUUAGGUUGAAAAU